CCAAAACAUGACUCCACCACCACCUUGCUGACGUCGCAGCCUUGUUGGAACGUCCACCAACCAUCCACUACUCCAUCCAUCUAGACCAUCCAUUGUUGCACAGCACUCAUCAGUGAACAGGACUGUUUGAAAAUUAGUCUUCGUGUAUUUUUCUGCCCAAUGCAGCCAUUUCUGCUUGUGAGCAUUGGUUAGUGGUAGCCGAAUAGAAGCUUUAUGCACAGUUGCAAGACUCUGGAGGACUCUACACCUUGAUGUCCGUGGGACUCCAGAGGCACCAGCAGCUUCAAAUAUCUGUUUUCUGCUAUGUAAUGGUAUUUUAGCAGCUGCUCUCUUGAUCCAAUGCAUGGAUCUGGCAGAA